rnacentral:rRNA from 1 species
GAUGAACGCUGGCGGCGUGCCUAAUACAUGCAAGUCGAGCGAACAGACGAGGAGCUUGCUCCUCUGACGUUAGCGGCGGACGGGUGAGUAACACGUGGAUAACCUACCUAUAAGACUGGGAUAACUUCGGGAAACCGGAGCUAAUACCGGAUAAUAUAUUGAACCGCAUGGUUCAAUAGUGAAAGACGGUUUUGCUGUCACUUAUAGAUGGAUCCGCGCCGCAUUAGCUAGUUGGUAAGGUAACGGCUUACCAAGGCAACGAUGCGUAGCCGACCUGAGAGGGUGAUCGGCCACACUGGAACUGAGACACGGUCCAGACUCCUACGGGAGGCAGCAGUAGGGAAUCUUCCGCAAUGGGCGAAAGCCUGACGCAGCAACGCCGCGUGAGUGAUGAAGGUCUUCGGAUCGUAAAGCUCUGUUAUUAGGGAAGAACAAAUGUGGAAGGAACUAUACACGUCUUGACGGUACCUAAUCAGAAAGCCACGGCUAACUACGUG